rnacentral:misc_RNA from 1 species
UGAAAACAUUAUUCCAAUUCAAGAAAAGAUCGUCAAACAUUAUUCCAAUCCAAGACAAGAUGGCUGCAGGAGGAACUGAAGCUUUUCCUGAUCUGGGUAGACAUUGUCAACAUUCAGAUUGCAAUCAACUUGAUUUCCUGCCUUUCAAAUGCCAAGGUUGUCAUAAGGUGUUUUGUCUAGAGCAUAGAUCCUACAAGUCCCAUGAUUGUCCUAAAUCAGAUCAUAAUAGCAGAAAAGUGGUGGUUUGUGAUAUUUGCUCCACGUCCAUUGAGACCACCGGAUGCCAUGAAGAUGAUGAGAAGUUGAUAUUGGAGAAACACGUCAAGUUUGGAAACUGCGACCCCCAAAAGAAGAAGAAACCUACCUGUGCCGUUAGGCGCUGCAAGGAGACUUUGACCUUCUCUAAUACAUGCAUUUGCAAAACUUGCCAAUUGAAGGUUUGUUUGAAGCAUCGUUUUCCAGCUGACCAUUCUUGUAAUAAGGCUUCGUCUGCCGCGGCUGCUGCUGCUAGUGGUGGGUGGUUUAAUAACAAGUUUCUGGGUGCUUUGGCUUCUAGGACGGGGAAAGAUUGUGCAAAAGAUCAGCCUUCAUCAAAACCCAAUAAUAAUACCUUAUCUGUCAAAGCAUUUUGAGGCUGACAACAAUACCCAUGCGAAUGUCUUAUGAACACAAGCAUUGUUAUGGCAUGAUUUGAUGUGACGUAAACAGUGCUUGCUUCCAAGAACAUCAAUGCUGGUGCCCCCAUUCUGUAAUUCUGUUCAAUUUAAUUGGAUUAUUUGGAAUUGAAUAAGACUUCUAAGUUUUUGUGAAAUGUGCUUUUCCACAAAAUAAAACUCUAAUACUUUUCAGACCCGGAGGAUAGAAACUUCAAAUGCCAACAUAAAUUUAUCAUCAUUGAAAUGCACUACAAUUGAAGGAUCUCCAAUCCCUAACAACAAUACAUUUGACUUGAUCAUCUCAUCCUGUUCAAC